rnacentral:lncRNA from 1 species
GUGCCGCCGCUGCCGGUGAAGCUGCGCCUGCAGGGGACCAUUGCGCUCGGCAAAGACGGCGACCCCAACGCGGAUGCGGCGCAGCUCCCGCCCCAGCAGACGCUUAAAACCGCUGACGACAAGGUGCACGACAUGCAGAUGCAGUACCUGGUCCUGGCGAAGGGCGCUCUGGUGCCCUGGGUGCCGAACCGCCCGAAGCAGUGAGCGGUUGGGACACGCGGUUGACAGCGAGCCGAGCUGCUACCGCGGUCUUCGUACCGCUGCAGCUUUGCGCGCGACGGGUAGCUGCUGGGGUGCCUGGGCCGCGAGGCUGCGGUCGAGCGGCGGGGGCGACCUGCUGCAGGCGUCCGCGGUGGCUGCAACGCGUGGACCUGUCUGUUGGGGAAGUGCCGAGGGCAUGAGGCAUGGCGAGCUUGGACAGUGCGGCACCGUGGCAGGUAUUAAGCUGACACCCAUUGUGUCAUCCGGCGCGGUUUUGGAGUGCGGGCAUGCCAUGUGCGUACCAUUUUAGGCACGUCACGCGACGAGGGCGCUUGAAGAGUGGGGUCGGAGAGUGCGUAGAGCUUUUGAGUGGGAAAGAAUGGGAGAUUCGUUCAUGGGAAAAUGUGGGAGAUGCAUUUCAUAAAUGUGGUGAACAGUUGAGCGUUUGGGCCGCAUUUUGACGAGUUGGCCGGUCUCUGACGCGUGGUAGGAUGGUGGGCGUCACCAAAGUGAGAGGCUGGCGGCCUGUGGCGGUCUCACCGCUGAGAGACAUUGACCAUCGGUGUCUCGGGACUUGUCCAUAACGAUAACGUUUGUAUUGCAUGUACCAUUUCGUGGGGUGUAAGGGUUCACCUCUCCGGCUGGCACCUCGCAGCCAUGUACUCUGGCCUUGUCAUUUUGUAUGGAGUGAACCCAGUCACUGUUGCGCUGCGCAUGCGAUACAUUGCAAUCAUGUGAUGCGUCGGCAAGUGGAAAGUUUGGCAGGGGAUGGAGCGCUGUGUGGACGGAGCAUCCAUGGGGAAGUGUUGGUGUACCUAAAUAUGCAAGUAGCGCAAGGCAAUUCUGUAGCGCCGGCCGCAUUGGCAUGCGCAGCUCUCGAGUGUGGCGUGUGGCACAUUUAAUAAGCCCGCAUUUCACCACAUGCGUUGGUGUUCAUAUCUAGGACGUGCAUGUCGCAAUAGGUCGGCAGGGUACCGGCGUGUCUGGGACUUCAGAGCCUCUGCGGCGAUGCAUCAGUGCUUACCUGCUCCGUUUGAGGGGAAGGGCACAAGACUGGGGGAGGGAGGAGCCCGGAGGAGCACAGGGUCGCGAAGGCGCAGGCUCCCAUGUAUGUAUACGCUGGUCACUCUGUUGUCGAGGGCGCUGUAAGUGUGGGAUGCUACGAUACGAUUUGGCNNNNNNNNNNNNNNNNNNNNNNNNNNNNNNNNNNNNNNNNNNNNNNNNNNNNNNNNNNNNNNNNNNNNNNNNNNNNNNNNNNNNNNNNNNNNNNNNNNNNGCCUCCGUCAGACAGUCCAGGAAGAAGCGCUGGCCCUCGCCCACACUGGCCGCCAGCGCCUCCAGCGCGCCUGGUAGUUGAAGGUGCCGUAGAAGGCCGCGCCGUACUGAAAGGACUUCUUGCGAUUCCACCGGCCCAGGAACAGCAUCAUCAGCGUAUCCGCCAGCUCCACCGAUGUGUUGAAGCCCGGCAGCAGCGUGUGCCAAUGCCGGUGAAAGCCCUCAAGCGCGCUGGUGCCCCGCUUCGAGCGCCACUUGGGGGGCUUCUCAGGGUCCGGCUCCACGUUGAUGUACAUCUCCACGCCGACAGGGUCUGCGCAUACACCGGCCCAUGGGCAUGUGGAAUGUGCAUGAGUAGAUGUGGGAAAUUGAAACCGAAUCAGCAACAAACUGCUACGCGCACUAGCCGUGCAGUAAGCCCAGCCGUGCAGUAAAAACAACCUACUACUGGUACGCCUGAAACCUACCGCUGAGGCGGCCCUCCUUGAUGUGCAGGCGGACACGCUCAAUCGCGUCCAGGGUGUCCGUGUUCAGCAGCCGCGCGCCUGCAUGUUGGAGCAGGCGGGCAGAUGAUGGGCCGCAGUGAGCUUCUCACGCAAUGCGGCGCGGCAAUAGCACCACCACACAGCCAGCGCCAGGAUCACAGCGCACCUGUGCUCAUGUCGAUUUGACGCUCGUACUGAGCCACCACCUUUUCGAAGCGCUCCAGCAGCUCCUUCGGAGGUGGAAUGAAGGACCGGCAUGUGGUGUCGUUGAUGGGCCAGCCCUUGGAUGCCGCCAGCUUCUCAUCCUCCUUGUUCCGCACACGGAAAGCGCCAGCAAUGUCAGCGAUGAACGUCGCUGCAAUCACCAUCAAAGAGCAAGCACACAGUCACCAAAUGGGCACGACCACCCGAUAGAACCACACGUUGACAAUUGCUCAUACCUCGCAGGCUGUGGUCGGAUGGCAGGGUGUCAGUGAUCCGGCGCUCCACGUGGAACAGGUCCUCCUUGAUGCCACCGCCCGGAGGCAUGCCUGGAAAGCAGCGCUCCAGCAGCUUGCCGGUCGUGUGGCUGUUGUCCACGUAGAUCAUGCCGAGUUGGCUCUGCACGGGGUAACACACGCAAUUGCAAGUUGUUCAGCACGCAUAUUCUGAGGCACGGCUUAUGUGGCUGCUGCAGCGAAGCCAAGCAGCUUUUACCAGGUCAAGGAGUCACCCGUUACUGCGUACCUUCUUCAGAGACAGGUUACGCUGUGCCAGCCGGCGCAGCGCAUCCUCAAGCUCCAGCAGCCCACCACCACCGAGGUACAAGCCCACAAUCUCGCCUCGUUCGUUCAUAACAGUUGUAGACUCCUUGAACGCGCGCUCACCGUCUGUAGUCCGCACCUUUUUGGCGUUUUUGAAGGCGCCAUCAAUGCGCAGAACCUCAAAGGGCAGCGACUGCAUGUGCUGUUCUGCUGCCGCCACUUCACCCCGCACAGCGACAAGGAAGCACUUGAUUGCGUACUGCACGCUCAGCAGCGCGCCACCGUACAGGCCGUCUUCAAAGCGGGGGAAAGGCAGCACCUGCAGGUAAAGAAAUGUCAGACGGCGGGAUUGCAGAAGAGGGGGCGAGCGAUGCUGGGGUCCCGUCAACCCUGCUCACCUUGCUUCCAGAACCCGGGGCAGCCGCCUCUGCGUCCUCCUGUAUUCACAAGGUGCGGCGUAGCACUGAUCAUACUGCAGGCAGGGCUAACAAGACGGGCGGCCUGUUGAUACUAACAGGGCGGCCUGGUGAUACUAAGAAGACAGCCAUGCACAUACCUCAACGUCGGUUCUGUCCCCAUCCUCAUCCGGGUCCAGGCCUGCUCUGCCGCCUGCGCUGGCGCCUGCUCUGCCGCCUGCUCUGCCGCCUGCGCUGGCGCCUGCUCUGCCGCCUGCGCUGCCACCUGCGCUGCCACCUGCGCUGCCGCCUGCGCUGCCGCCUGCGCUGCUGCCUGCGCUGCCGCCUGUGCUGCCACCCACGACGUCGCCUGCUGUGCUGCCGCCCGCAGGCUGAAAAAAGUCGCGUAUGGUGCGCCCCCUCUUCAGCAUCAAGUACUCCAGCUCCGUCAUCUUAUGCACCAUAUGCGCCUUCUCGUUGACCAUGUCGCAGAUGCUGCUGAAGCUGGUGCCCUGGGGCGGCAUGACCGACAGCGUGCGCACGACCCGCCACGUGAGCCCACUCUGCCGAGUUAGCACGCCGGGGAGUUUCAGCUGCACGUACCCCGGCAGCUGCGAGACGAUCUCCGGGUCGCACAUUUGGAAGUGUUUGGCGUCAGUGCAGACUGCAUGGCAGGGGAAGGGGGCCAGCGGUUUCUCAGCUGUCGAUCGUCGCCGCAUGUCGGGUGACAUGUCGUUGCGCACGCCGAGAACGUCGCGAGGUGCGUGGCACAGCGUAAUGUUGCACUUGCAAUUGUAUACCACUCACUCUUGCAUUUUGCUUGACUGCAAAAAACCCACACGUCCUCCUCCCCGUCGCCGAUGAGCUUCUUGACGUCCAUCGCCCAGCCCCAGUACACGCAGUUGGCCUUCGUGCACGUUGGGCACUUUGGCCGCCAUGUUGAGUUGCAAAGGCGCUUAGGGUCCCAGAGGAUGAGCUGCGUGCGCGAGCACACAGUCUGGACAAGCCGCUCGCACUCGCUGCCCUGGAAGCGCGGGUCCGAAGGGCUGGCAAAGCGGAUUUCGUAUGGUAGUGGGAGGUUUACGUUCUUGUCGUCGCAGUAAUCCUUGAUAGCAAGCGCGAUCCUAUAGAGAAUGUCAGCCUUGUUUAAAUGAGUGAACUCGAGGCGCUUCAAGACGACCGUGUCAGUGUGCAGCUCAAAUUCUACGGAUGUUUUCAAGCCGUUGCCGCUAGCGUGGUACUUGAUAGUGUGGGGAGUGCUGUUCGGUACCGUGGUCCAGGUUGUGGCUUGGUCUUUCUUUGCUUUUUUGCGCACAGGCUCAGACAUAUUGAUAAGAAAGCAUUUCACUUAUCGAUGUGUAUUUGUAGCAGCGACUAUGGGCCCUUCCUGAGCACCCCGAAUUAGCGCACCGAAUUAGCGCUAAUUCGACCCCAUGCGCCCCCCCAGACAGCCGGACCACUUCACGCAAUCUUGCCGGGGUGCCUCGAUUGAAGCCCCGCGCUUCAGCUGUUGCUUACUUUGCAUUGCUGUUAACCGUCACAUUGUGUCGUGGUAAUUCAGCGUCCACUCUCCAGCACCUGUUACGAAUCCUAUCGGCGCCUACUUUGCGAUUUGGCCCGUGUUCGCAAGGCAUAUCAGUAAAGCCACAUGCAUAGCUGCACCUAGAUCGCACGCUGCUGCGGCGGAGCAGCGAGCAAGAAACCUUACGUUGCUCUUGGACCCGGCGAGCCCACGAGGCGCCGCUGCACGAUGCAGCGAGCGGCGGCGGUGCCUUCUGCGAGGGGCAGCAUGCAUGGCGGAGGCCGAGGCGGUGGCGGCGCAGGUGAGGCGUUUUGACGCGAAGGGGAAGGGGUGCUGAUGGCUGGAACUCUCGCCUCCGGGGCGGACAAGCUUGCCUGACCUGCGUGCAAAUGGCGUAGGAUGGCGCAAGGUGACUUUGGCCUCACAUCAAUAUUUUGGCCUAGGCGAUGGGGCCGACUACCCCGCCCACAGGUUUUCUUCGUGCAGUCGCGUCCACGGCACUCGGCGCGCAAAAUCUGGCGUCACUCCUUGGACGCCGAGCCUCUGUGGUGGCAGUGCAUGCAGACGGGGCUGGUGGGACCACGGGCCGGGUGCCAUUCAGACGCCGGAAACCGCGGCCGGACCCACUGCAAAGGCUGAUGCUGCGGAAGCUGCGGGACAUCCAGAACGACGUGCGCGGCAUCCAGAACGACGUGCGCGGCAUCCAGCAGAAGCAGGAUGGAUUCGCUGAGACACAGAGCAUCAUCGUCGAGUCGCUCGUGGGCAGCGAGCUCAGUGAGCGCGACCCGCCGGACGUGGACAGCAGCAAAGCGCGCAGAGCCGUCAAGCUGCAGUCUGCGGACAGCGUUGUGGCCUGUGUGGUGCCGCAAGAGCUCCCGCCGCGCCUGCUGCACGAGGACGCACCUGCGCAGCUCACGGCGUGGCUCAUGGAGGAUCGGGUGAGCGGCGUGAUGAGUGGGGGCUACCGUUUGUUACCGUUUGUUCCAGCGUCUUGACCUGCCAACGCAUAGGCCAGCUCUGACGUGUCAAAAUGGACCCUGACUUGUCUUCUGCCGCCGCCGCUUGUGUAGGGCCGAGGCAUCCGCGCUAUCCUGCGGUCGUGUCUGCGUGCGGUGCCUUCCCUGCUCGGGGCGGUGGCGGGGAGUGCAGAGGACAAGGCGGCGGCUGCGACUGAAGCUGAGGUGAGAGCUUGCCGCUAUUACGUAUGGCGGCUGGCGGCGUCAACUGCUCCAACAGCAACGGCAGACAGGACGUGCUACCGUACGUGCGAUUUUACACUGUUCGCAGGUGGCGCUGACAGAGCUCGAGAAGGCUGGGGCUGGCCAAAAGGAGCUGCGAGCCGCCUGUGACGCGCUCAAGUGCUGCGCGGCGCGGCUGCCGGUCUCCUUGAAGCUGCUCGAGGACUGCGUCAAGGACCCGAAGAAAGCCGAGGAGCUGCUGCGCGGUGAGCUGUGCAUCGCGGCGCUGACGUCGCUGCACCCGGUCAGCGGCACGGCCUCAUCGACGGCCAAAGAGCUGGAGAUCGACCGCCUGCUGCCGCUACGGUUGCUUCCGGCGGCUGACGGCGCCAACGGCACCAGCAACAACGGUGGCAUCGCCAUCCUGGAGGUGCAGGAGAUCAAGUCGUCCACCGCUGGUGAGUGAAGUGCCGACAGACAUGGCACCAGACGGGGUGGUCGGGACACGGCAUUCAAACUGGUUGGCAUGGGCGGCGAGGAUUUCCAAGGCGUCAUGUUACCUGCUGCGUUGAGGUGUCUGGGAGCCUCUGUGCCGCGGUCCAUGUAUUGACCGGGAUCAGGCCGCACUCCACGACCUCUGCUCAUGCGCAGGUCUACCCACGGGGGGUGACCAGGCGGCCCGCCUGGGCUCCGUUCUGGGGUGCUCCUACGGUGUGCUGCAAGAGCGGCUCCAGCACGCGGCGGCAGGCGCUGUGCCGCCGCUGCCGGUGAAGCUGCGCCUGCAGGGGACCAUUGCGCUCGGCAAAGACGGCGACCCCAACGCGGAUGCGGCGCAGCUCCCGCCCCAGCAGACGCUUAAAACCGCUGACGACAAGGUGCACGACAUGCAGAUGCAGUACCUGGUCCUGGCGAAGGGCGCUCUGGUGCCCUGGGUGCCGAGCCGCCCGAAGCAGUGAGCGGUCGGGACACGCGGUUGACAGCGAGCCGAGCUGCUACCGCGGUCUUCGUACCGCUGCAGCUUUGCGCGCGACGGGUAGCUGCUGGGGUGCCCGGGCCGCGAGGCUGCGGUCGAGCGGCGGGGGCGACCUGCUGCAGGCGUCCGCGGUGGCUGCAACGCGUGGACCUGUCUGUUGGGGAAGUGCCGAGGGCAUGAGGCAUGGCGAGCUUGGACAGUGCGGCACCGUGGCAGGUAUUAAGCUGACACCCAUUGUGUCAUCCGGCGCGGUUUUGGAGUGCGGGCAUGCCAUGUGCGUACCAUUUUAGGCACGUCACGCGACGAGGGCGCUUGAAGAGUGGGGUCGGAGAGUGCGUAGAGCUUUUGAGUGGGAAAGAAUGGGAGAUUCGUUCAUGGGAAAAUGUGGGAGAUGCAUUUCAUAAAUGUGGUGAACAGUUGAGCGUUUGGGCCGCAUUUUGACGAGUUGGCCGGUCUCUGACGCGUGGUAGGAUGGUGGGCGUCACCAAAGUGAGAGGCUGGCGGCCUGUGGCGGUCUCACCGCUGAGAGACAUUGACCAUCGGUGUCUCGGGACUUGUCCAUAACGAUAACGUUUGUAUUGCAUGUACCAUUUCGUGGGGUGUAAGGGUUCACCUCUCCGGCUGGCACCUCGCAGCCAUGUACUCUGGCCUUGUCAUUUUGUAUGGAGUGAACCCAGUCACUGUUGCGCUGCGCAUGCGAUACAUUGCAAUCAUGUGAUGCGUCGGCAAGUGGAAAGUUUGGCAGGGGAUGGAGCGCUGUGUGGACGGAGCAUCCAUGGGGAAGUGUUGGUGUACCUAAAUAUGCAAGUAGCGCAAGGCAAUUCUGUAGCGCCGGCCGCAUUGGCAUGCGCAGCUCUCGAGUGUGGCGUGUGGCACAUUUAAUAAGCCCGCAUUUCACCACAUGCGUUGGUGUUCAUAUCUAGGACGUGCAUGUCGCAAUAGGUCGGCAGGGUACCGGCGUGUCUGGGACUUCAGAGCCUCUGCGGCGAUGCAUCAGUGCUUACCUGCUCCGUUUGAGGGGAAGGGCACAAGACUGGGGGAGGGAGGAGCCCGGAGGAGCACAGGGUCGCGAAGGCGCAGGCUCCCAUGUAUGUAUACGCUGGUCACUCUGUUGUCGAGGGCGCUGUAAGUGUGGGAUGCUACGAUACGAUUUGGCCACAUCCGCAGUUGCCAGAGCCACGUGAAAUGCCUCCCCGGCAUCGCCAGCACAAACAAGCUCCCAACGCCAGCCGCCUCGUGCGCACCGCAAUGACACGUCACCCACACUGGCCUGAAGCACUCGUGUCGACAGCAUAAUAGGCUGUUCUCGGAGCUUUCUGGAGCGUAAGGGCCGCGCGUCAGCUCCAAUCCAGCCACCAGCACAGCGCGGCCACUUGUGUACUGUGCAGAAAUGUCAGCCGCGCACGAACCAAUGCUCGCGCCACAUGCCCUCAAUUGAGUUGCUGGCACAGGUUUGGGCGUCACACGCACUACGGGACGAUGACGACACCUUGCCCCUUUGCAGUGUACCAUCUCAAUCAUUGGGGUUUGGGGGGUUUCCCUGCCGGCUGGGACUACUGCCGCUGCUGGUUGAGCUGCGGCUGGCGCACCGGCCGGCGGGGCGGCCGCCGGCGGCGGCGGCCUGGCUGCUACUGCCGUGACGGGCGCUGCCGACCUCGCUGGAGCAACUUGAACUUGAGGGCCCGGAGCUGUGGACAUGAGGCUACAGCCGCAGGCUGCGAGCCGCAGUGGUCACGAGAAGGCGGCAGAGAUGCUGCUACUGCCGCGGCUGCGGCGUCGGCUCCAGAGCGGCGUGCCGUACUGUCAGGCGCAGGUGAUGCAGGUACGGGUGCCGUGCGCGAGGGGGGUUGCGACUUCAGUGCAGUAUGCGGCAGGUUUCCAUUACUCAUCAGCGAUGGACGCUUGGAUACAGGGUAUAAGGCUUGGUGUGUAGACCUUACUGGCAUGAGCAUGGCGUACUGACACAAUCUGGGCACUAUGGCUUCGACGUGUCCAUCAGCGUACAACAGUACCAGGUGCGCCAGCCCGGCGCUGACACAUACACAGUCUCGCUUCCUCUCAUGCCCCUGGACCAAAGUGACAUCAGCCCUCAUUGCACCCUGCAACUGCGCAAGCCGACACCUUGGUCAAGCACACACUCGAACGCCCCUCCCUCAACAUCCCCCACAAUGCGCGAUGCUAUCCUCAAUUCCUCAUGCACACGAGCACUCCUCUCAAUGCGUGCACCCACUGCAAGUUCAAAUCCCAUCAGCCGUACACCUGAAAGAGCGCGCGUCACGGGCUACUCGACAAUCCAGGCCAAUCCAUUACUUCAGAAGCGGUCCUUGGCCGCGCGGAUGGCGCCAAACACCUGCCAGUCGGGCGCGGCGGCGUCAAAGCCCAGCUGCUGGCGAAUGGCUGGGUCGUGGGGGCGCAGGAAGGGGUUGGUCGCCUUCUCAUCACCCAGGCGGCUAUGCACGGUGGGCUCGCCCUGGAGGGGGGGAGGAGGACGGGAAGCGGGGAGGGCGGGGAGGGUGGGGAGUGGGGAGGUUGGCACACGGGCACGGCUGGGAGCGUAGUUCAAGUACAGGCGGAGGCAAAGAAGGGGGCAGGGGCAGAAUACACGGCAGAGCCCGUGGUAAAGACAGACACGAGGGGCGAAGGGCUCGCAUUAGAGCCGGCACGGCUGCCGCAAUCAGCGGCAAGCGCGCUGUGCCCUCGCCCCUCCUGUGGCAACCCGCUGCCCCCACGCACCCGCGCCCGCGCCGCGUCAAUAGCCGCCUUGCCCUCCGCCAGCGCGCUGUUGGCCGGGUCCACCGUCACCGCGAACCUGAGGAUGUGCAUGAGGCGCGGGAGCGGGGAGGCAGGAGUGGGGUGGAUGGGGGUGCAAACGUAAGUUACUCUGGUAUUCAGUGACCCUUGCCACUCCUACCACUCACAUGCACCCAUGCCCCCCUGGUGUUGUUUCUUGGGAUUGGGCAUAUACCCCCCUCCCCCAGGUUCCGGCCACUCCUCCUCCUCGCUCGGGCUGGCUGGUUCGGGUUCGAGUCUCUGUUUUUUUGCUUGGGUUUGGAGCAAACUACCCCCUCCCCCAAGACCACCAAGACCUUGCACCCAGGCCCUCCUAAAUAGUGCCGUGCCCCCGGGGAGGCGUGCUGUCGGUUGUCCCCUUGCCGCACUUGUUACGCCUGUCCCUCGUCGCAAGCAUCAUUCCUAGGGUACCGACCUACUGCGGGGAUUGCUCUGGGCGUGGCGUAUCCGCAACCUUCUGUGGGCGUCGCAACAACGCAUACCUGGGCUGCCGGCAUGCGUGGGAGCCGUUCGCGGCCCGCGGCCGGCGCACCCGUCCGCACCCCUCUCCGCACCUGUCACCACCCCGGCUGGGAAGUAACCGCCCAUGCGAUGCCCAUGCGAUGCCGAUGCCCCGCCUACUUCGGGCAAACCUCGCCCUUGCCCCCUCUCUUUGUUUCCCAGGCUCGCGCGCGCUAGACACUAGUUUGGCUUCGACCACUUGCACAUCCUUCCUGCAGUUGCUCACAAGUGUUGGCCCUCCCUCCCACAUGUCGCCUUCAUGCCGGCGCUUCCAACCUGGCACCGGUACCGCUCUGGUUCGUCACAGGUGGGUAUCGUUGCGGUUCGCGUGCAUUAGCUAGCGGGCUGGGUUCACCGCGCCGCGAGCCUGGGUGUUACUUGAUGGUAAGCGAGUUGGCGAUUUCCGGCCUACCGUCUACGGCCUACACCAUUCAGAUGCACGAGACUGAAGGGCGACCAAGAUAAAUGUUAACGCCACUCCUCCUCCUCGCUCGGGUUGGCUGGUUUUGGUUUGGGUCUCUGGUUUUUUGCUUGGGUUUGGAAUGAUCUACCCCCAUCCCCCCCUACACCUCCUGGUCAUAACGCAUCGGUAUGGUACCUACGUUCGCAACGCCUGUACUACGUCUCCUUCGUCCUAAUUAAUCAUGCAUGGAACCCCCCCCCCACACACACAUAUACACCCACCUGGCGUUGGACUGGGUGUACUCGUACGCGCAGUAGACCAGCGUGUCGUCCGGCAGCGGCGUCAGCUGGCUGAGCGAGGCCCACAUCUGCUGCGGGCUGCCCUCGAACAGCCGCCCGCAGCCCAGCGCGAACAGCGUGUCAGCGAGGCUCGCGCGCGCUCGCACACGCACCUCAGCUUGCGCUGCAUCGCGUCCGCCCACGCGCGCGCCUCCGCCAGCCGCCGCAGGUGCCACCGCCGCCGCAGCGCGCGCUGGAUGGUCCUCGCCGCCUGCUGCCGCCGGAUGGCGUCCAGCAGCGCGAUGUCCGCGCGCGUGAGCCCCAGCUGCCCCAGCCGCAGCAGCCGUCCCACCCAGCCGCCGGCACCCGCCUCCCAGGCGAGGAGCCGCCCCUGCCCCCGCCGCCGCCGCCACUCACAGCACUGGCGCUGGUCCCCGGCCGGCUAACCGCACCUGCCCCCGCCGCCGCUGCCACCCGGCCCAGGCCCCAACCCGAGGCCGGAGCCCACCAGGCCGCUCAGCGCCACGCCCGCCGCCACGUCAGCCAGCGUCAGGCCCGCCACCUCCGCCGCCUCCGUCAGACAGUCCAGGAAGAAGCGCUGGCCCUCGCCCACACUGGCCGCCAGCGCCUCCAGCGCGCCUGGUAGUUGAAGGUGCCGUAGAAGGCCGCGCCGUACUGAAAGGACUUCUUGCGAUUCCACCGGCCCAGGAACAGCAUCAUCAGCGUAUCCGCCAGCUCCACCGAUGUGUUGAAGCCCGGCAGCAGCGUGUGCCAAUGCCGGUGAAAGCCCUCAAGCGCGCUGGUGCCCCGCUUCGAGCGCCACUUGGGGGGCUUCUCAGGGUCCGGCUCCACGUUGAUGUACAUCUCCACGCCGACAGGGUCUGCGCAUACACCGGCCCAUGGGCAUGUGGAAUGUGCAUGAGUAGAUGUGGGAAAUUGAAACCGAAUCAGCAACAAACUGCUACGCGCACUAGCCGUGCAGUAAGCCCAGCCGUGCAGUAAAAACAACCUACUACUGGUACGCCUGAAACCUACCGCUGAGGCGGCCCUCCUUGAUGUGCAGGCGGACACGCUCAAUCGCGUCCAGGGUGUCCGUGUUCAGCAGCCGCGCGCCUGCAUGUUGGAGCAGGCGGGCAGAUGAUGGGCCGCAGUGAGCUUCUCACGCAAUGCGGCGCGGCAAUAGCACCACCACACAGCCAGCGCCAGGAUCACAGCGCACCUGUGUUCAUGUCGAUUUGACGCUCGUACUGAGCCACCGACUGCAUGUGCUGUUCUGCUGCCGCCACUUCACCCCGCACAGCGACAAGGAAGCACUUGAUUGCGUACUGCACGCUCAGCAGCGCGCCACCGUACAGGCCGUCUUCAAAGCGGGGGAAAGGCAGCACCUGCAGGUAAAGAAAUGUCAGACGGCGGGCUUGCAGAAGAGGGGGCGAGCGAUGCUGGGGUCCCGUCAACCCUGCUCACCUUGCUUCCAGAACCCGGGGCAGCCGCCUCUGCGUCCUCCUGUAUUCACAAGGUGCGGCGUAGCACUGAUCAUACUGCAGGCAGGGCUAACAAGACGGGCGGCCUGUUGAUACUAACAGGGCGGCCUGGUGAUACUAAGAAGACAGCCAUGCACAUACCUCAACGUCGGUUCUGUCCCCAUCCUCAUCCGGGUCCAGGCCUGCUCUGCCGCCUGCGCUGGCGCCUGCUCUGCCGCCUGCUCUGCCGCCUGCGCUGGCGCCUGCUCUGCCGCCUGCGCUGCCACCUGCGCUGCCACCUGCGCUGCCGCCUGCGCUGCCGCCUGCGCUGCCGCCUGCGCUGCUGCCUGCGCUGCCGCCUGUGCUGCCACCCACGACGUCGCCUGCUGUGCUGCCGCCCGCAGGCUGAAAAAAGUCGCGUAUGGUGCGCCCCCUCUUCAGCAUCAAGUACUCCAGCUCCGUCAUCUUAUGCACCAUAUGCGCCUUCUCGUUGACCAUGUCGCAGAUGCUGCUGAAGCUGGUGCCCUGGGGCGGCAUGACCGACAGCGUGCGCAUGACCCGCCACGUGAGCCCACUCUGCCGAGUUAGCACGCCGGGGAGUUUCAGCUGCACGUACCCCGGCAGCUGCGAGACGAUCUCCGGGUCGCACAUUUGGAAGUGUUUGGCGUCAGUGCAGACUGCAUGGCAGGGGAAGGGGGCCAGCGGUUUCUCAGCUGUCGAUCGUCGCCGCAUGUCGGGUGACAUGUCGUUGCGCACGCCGAGAACGUCGCGAGGUGCGUGGCACAGCGUAAUGUUGCACUUGCAAUUGUAUACCACUCACUCUUGCAUUUUGCUUGACUGCAAAAAAACCACACGUCCUCCUCCCCGUCGCCGAUGAGCUUCUUGACGUCCAUCGCCCAGCCCCAGUACACGCAGUUGGCCUUCGUGCACGUUGGGCACUUUGGCCGCCAUGUUGAGUUGCAAAGGCGCUUAGGGUCCCAGAGGAUGAGCUGCGUGCGCGAGCACACAGUCUGGACAAGCCGCUCGCACUCGCUGCCCUGGAAGCGCGGGUCCGAAGGGCUGGCAAAGCGGAUUUCGUAUGGUAGUGGGAGGUUUACGUUCUUGUCGUCGCAGUAAUCCUUGAUAGCAAGCGCGAUCCUAUAGAGAAUGUCAGCCUUGUUUAAAUGAGUGAACUCGAGGCGCUUCAAGACGACCGUGUCAGUGUGCAGCUCAAAUUCUACGGAUGUUUUCAAGCCGUUGCCGCUAGCGUGGUACUUGAUAGUGUGGGGAGUGCUGUUCGGUACCGUGGUCCAGGUUGUGGCUUGGUCUUUCUUUGCUUUUUUGCGCACAGGCUCAGACAUAUUGAUAAGAAAGCAUUUCACUUAUCGAUGUGUAUUUGUAGCAGCGACUAUGGGCCCUUCCUGAGCACCCCGAAUUAGCGCACCGAAUUAGCGCUAAUUCGACCUCAUGCGCCCCCCCAGACAGCGGACAAAAUCUUGCCGGGGUGCCUCGAUUGAAGCCCCGCGCUUCAGCUGUUGCUUACUUUGCAUUGCUGUUAACCGUCACAUUGUGUCGUGGUAAUUCAGCGUCCACUCUCCAGCACCUGUUACGAAUCCUAUCGGCGCCUACUUUGCGAUUUGGCCCGUGUUCGCAAGGCAUAUCAGUAAAGCCACAUGCAUAGCUGCACCUAGAUCGCACGCUGCUGCGGCGGAGCAGCGAGCAAGAAACCUUACGUUGCUCUUGGACCCGGAGAGCCCACGAGGCGCCGCUGCACGAUGCAGCGAGCGGCGGCGGUGCCUUCUGCGAGGGGCAGCAUGCAUGGCGGAGGCCGAGGCGGUGGCGGCGCAGGUGAGGCGUUUUGACGCGAAGGGGAAGGGGUGCUGAUGGCUGGAACUCUCGCCUCCGGGGCGGACAAGCUUGCCUGACCUGCGUGCAAAUGGCGUAGGAUGGCGCAAGGUGACUUUGGCCUCACAUCAAUAUUUUGGCCUGGGCGAUGGGGCCGACUACCCCGCCCACAGGUUUUCUUCGUGCAGUCGCGUCCACGGCACUCGGCGCGCAAAAUCUGGCGUCACUCCUUGGACGCCGAGCCUCUGUGGUGGCAGUGCAUGCAGACGGGGCUGGUGGGACCACGGGCCGGGUGCCAUUCAGACGCCGGAAACCGCGGCCGGACCCACUGCAAAGGCUGAUGCUGCGGAAGCUGCGGGACAUCCAGAACGACGUGCGCGGCAUCCAGAACCACGUGCGCGGCAUCCAGAACCGCGUGCGCGGCAUCCAGCAGAAGCAGGAUGGAUUCGCUGAGACACAGAGCAUCAUCGUCGAGUCGCUCGUGGGCAGCGAGCUCAGUGAGCGCGACCCGCCGGACGUGGACAGCAGCAAAGCGCGCAGAGCCGUCAAGCUGCAGUCUGCGGACAGCGUUGUGGCCUGUGUGGUGCCGCAAGAGCUCCCGCCGCGCCUGCUGCACGAGGACGCACCUGCGCAGCUCACGGCGUGGCUCAUGGAGGAUCGGGUGAGCGGCGUGAUGAGUGGGGGCUACCGUUUGUUACCGUUUGUUCCAGCGUCUUGACCUGCCAACGCAUAGGCCAGCUCUGACGUGUCAAAAUGGACCCUGACUUGUCUUCUGCCGCCGCCGCUUGUGUAGGGCCGAGGCAUCCGCGCUAUCCUGCGGUCGUGUCUGCGUGCGGUGCCUUCCCUGCUCGGGGCGGUGGCGGGGAGUGCAGAGGACAAGGCGGCGGCUGCGACUGAAGCUGAGGUGAGAGCUUGCCGCUAUUACGUAUGGCGGCUGGCGGCGUCAACUGCUCCAACAGCAACGGCAGACAGGACGUGCUACCGUACGUGCGAUUUUACACUGUUCGCAGGUGGCGCUGACAGAGCUCGAGAAGGCUGGGGCUGGCCAAAAGGAGCUGCGAGCCGCCUGUGACGCGCUCAAGUGCUGCGCGGCGCGGCUGCCGGUCUCCUUGAAGCUGCUCGAGGACUGCGUCAAGGACCCGAAGAAAGCCGAGGAGCUGCUGCGCGGUGAGCUGUGCAUCGCGGCGCUGACGUCGCUGCACCCGGUCAGCGGCACGGCCUCAUCGACGGCCAAAGAGCUGGAGAUCGACCGCCUGCUGCCGCUACGGUUGCUUCCGGCGGCUGACGGCGCCAACGGCACCAGCAACAACGGUGGCAUCGCCAUCCUGGAGGUGCAGGAGAUCAAGUCGUCCACCGCUGGUGAGUGAAGUGCCGACAGACAUGGCACCAGACGGGGUGGUCGGGACACGGCAUUCAAACUGGUUGGCAUGGGCGGCGAGGAUUUCCAAGGCGUCAUGUUACCUGCUGCGUUGAGGUGUCUGGGAGCCUCUGUGCCGCGGUCCAUGUAUUGACCGGGAUCAGGCCGCACUCCACGACCUCUGCUCAUGCGCAGGUCUACCCACGGGGCGUGACCAGGCGGCCCGCCUGGGCUCCGUUCUGGGGUGCUCCUACGGUGUGCUGCAAGAGCGGCUCCAGCACGCGGCGGCAGGCGCUGUGCCGCCGCUGCCGGUGAAGCUGCGCCUGCAGGGGACCAUUGCGCUCGGCAAAGACGGCGACCCCAACGCGGAUGCGGCGCAGCUCCCGCCCCAGCAGACGCUUAAAACCGCUGACGACAAGGUGCACGACAUGCAGAUGCAGUACCUGGUCCUGGCGAAGGGCGCUCUGGUGCCCUGGGUGCCGAGCCGCCCGAAGCAGUGAGCGGUCGAGACACGCGGUUGACAGCGAGCCGAGCUGCUACCGCGGUCUUCGUACCGCUGCAGCUUUGCGCGCGACGGGUAGCUGCUGGGGUGCCCGGGCCGCGAGGCUGCGGUCGAACGGCGGGGGCGACCAGCUGCAGGCGUCCGCGGUGGCUGCAACGCGUGGACCUGUCUGUUGGGGAAGUGCCGAGGGCAUGAGGCAUGGCGAGCUUGGACAGUGCGGCACCGUGGCAGGUAUUAAGCUGACACCCAUUGUGUCAUCCGGCGCGGUUUUGGAGUGCGGGCAUGCCAUGUGCGUACCAUUUUAGGCACGUCACGCGACGAGGGCGCUUGAAGAGUGGGGUCGGAGAGUGCGUAGAGCUUUUGAGUGGGAAAGAAUGGGAGAUUCGUUCAUGGGAAAAUGUGGGAGAUGCAUUUCAUAAAUGUGGUGAACAGUUGAGCCGUUGGGCCGCAUUUUGACGAGUUGGCCGGUCUCUGACGCGUGGUAGGAUGGUGGGCGUCACCAAAGUGAGAGGCUGGCGGCCUGUGGCGGUCUCACCGCUGAGAGACAUUGACCAUCGGUGUCUCGGGACUUGUCCAUAACGAUAACGUUUGUAUUGCAUGUACCAUUUCGUGGGGUGUAAGGGUUCACCUCUCCGGCUGGCACCUCGCAGCCAUGUACUCUGGCCUUGUCAUUUUGUAUGGAGUGAACCCAGUCACUGUUGCGCUGCGCAUGCGAUACAUUGCAAUCAUGUGAUGCGUCGGCAAGUGGAAAGUUUGGCAGGGGAUGGAGCGCUGUGUGGACGGAGCAUCCAUGGGGAAGUGUUGGUGUACCUAAAUAUGCAAGUAGCGCAAGGCAAUUCUGUAGCGCCGGCCGCAUUGGCAUGCGCAGCUCUCGAGUGUGGCGUGUGGCACAUUUAAUAAGCCCGCAUUUCACCACAUGCGUUGGUGUUCAUAUCUAGGACGUGCAUGUCGCAAUAGGUCGGCAGGGUACCGGCGUGUCUGGGACUUCAGAGCCUCUGCGGCGAUGCAUCAGUGCUUACCUGCUCCGUUUGAGGGGAAGGGCACAAGACUGGGGGAGGGAGGAGCCCGGAGGAGCACAGGGUCGCGAAGGCGCAGGCUCCCAUGUAUGUAUACGCUGGUCACUCUGUUGUCGAGGGCGCUGUAAGUGUGGGAUGCUACGAUACGAUUUGGCCACGUCCGCAGUUGCCAGAGCCACGUGAAAUGCCUCCCCGGCAUCGCCAGCACAAACAAGCUCCCAACGCCAGCCGCCUCGUGCGCACCGCAAUGACACGUCACCCACACUGGCCUGAAGUACUCGUGUCGACAGCAUAAUAGGCUGUUCUCGGAGCUUUCCGGAGCGUAAGGGCCGCGCGUCAGCUCCAAUCCAGCCACCAGCACAGCGCGGCCACUUGUGUACCGUGCAGAAAUGUCAGCCGCGCACGAACCAAUGCUCGCGCCACAUGCCCUCAAUUGAGUUGCUGGCACAGGUUUGGGCGUCACACGCACUACGGGACGAUGACGACACCUUGCCCCUUUGCAGUGUACCAUCUCAAUCAUUGGGGUUUGGGGGGUUUCCCUGCCGGCUGGGACUACUGCCGCUGCUGGUUGAGCUGCGGCUGGCGCACCGGCCGGCGGGGCGGCCGCCGGCGGCGGCGGCCUGGCUGCUACUGCCGUGACGGGCGCUGCCGACCUCGCUGGAGCAACUUGAACUUGAGGGCCCGGAGCUGUGGACAUGAGGCUACAGCCGCAGGCUGCGAGCCGCAGUGGUCACGAGAAGGCGGCAGAGAUGCUGCUACUGCCGCGGCUGCGGCGUCGGCUCCAGAGCGGCGUGCCGUACUGUCAGGCGCAGGUGAUGCAGGUACGGGUGCCGUGCGCGAGGGGGGUUGCGACUUCAGUGCAGUAUGCGGCAGGUUUCCAUUACUCAUCAGCGAUGGACGCUUGGAUACAGGGUAUAAGGCUUGGUGUGUAGACCUUACUGGCAUGAGCAUGGCGUACUGACACAAUCUGGGCACUAUGGCUUCGACGUGUCCAUCAGCGUACAACAGUACCAGGUGCGCCAGCCCGGCGCUGACACAUACACAGUCUCGCUUCCUCUCAUGCCCCUGGACCAAAGUGACAUCAGCCCUCAUUGCACCCUGCAACUGCGCAAGCCGACACCUUGGUCAAGCACACACUCGAACGCCCCUCCCUCAACAUCCCCCACAAUGCGCGAUGCUAUCCUCAAUUCCUCAUGCUCACGAGCACUCCUCUCAAUGCGUGCACCCACUGCAAGUUCAAAUCCCAUCAGCCGUACACCUGAAAGAGCGCGCGUCACGGGCUACUCGACAAUCCAGGCCAAUCCAUUACUUCAGAAGCGGUCCUUGGCCGCGCGGAUGGCGCCAAACACCUGCCAGUCGGGCGCGGCGGCGUCAAAGCCCAGCUGCUGGCGAAUGGCUGGGUCGUGGGGGCGCAGGAAGGGGUUGGUCGCCUUCUCAUCACCCAGGCGGCUAUGCACGGUGGGCUCGCCCUGGAGGGGGGGAGGAGGACGGGAAGCGGGGAGGGCGGGGAGGGUGGGGAGUGGGGAGGUUGGCACACGGGCACGGCUGGGAGCGUAGUUCAAGUACAGGCGGAGGCAAAGAAGGGGGCAGGGGCAGAAUACACGGCAGAGCCCGUGGUAAAGACAGACGCGAGGGGCGAAGGGCUCGCAUUAGAGCCGGCACGGCUGCCGCAAUCAGCGGCAAGCGCGCUGUGCCCUCGCCCCUCCUGUGGCAACCCGCUGCCCCCACGCACCCGCGCCCGCGCCGCGUCAAUAGCCGCCUUGCGCUCCGCCAGCGCGCUGUUGGCCGGGUCCACCGUCACCGCGAACCUGAGGAUGUGCAUGAGGCGCGGGAGCGGGGAGGCAGGAGUGGGGUGGAUGGGGGUGCAAACGUAAGUUACUCUGGUAUUCAGUGACCCUUGCCACUCCUACCACUCACAUGCACCCAUGCCCCCCUGGUGUUGUUUCUUGGGAUUGGGCAUAUACCCCCCUCCCCCAGGUUCCGGCCACUCCUCCUCCUCGCUCGGGCUGGCUGGUUCGGGUUCGAGUCUCUGUUUUUUUGCUUGGGUUUGGAGCAAACUACCCCCUCCCCCAAGACCACCAAGACCUUGCACCCAGGCCCUCCUAAAUAGUGCCGUGCCCCCGGGGAGGCGUGCUGUCGGUUGUCCCCUUGCCGCACUUGUUACGCCUGUCCCUCGUCGCAAGCAUCAUUCCUAGGGUACCGACCUACUGCGGGGAUUGCUCUGGGCGUGGCGUAUCCGCAACCUUCUGUGGGCGUCGCAACAACGCAUACCUGGGCUGCCGGCAUGCGUGGGAGCCGUUCGCGGCCCGCGGCCGGCGCACCCGUCCGCACCCCUCUCCGCACCUGUCACCACCCCGGCUGGGAAGUAACCGCCCAUGCGAUGCCCAUGCGAUGCCGAUGCCCCGCCUACUUCGGGCAAACCUCGCCCUUGCCCCCUCUCUUUGUUUCCCAGGCUCGCGCGCGCUAGACACUAGUUUGGCUUCGACCACUUGCACAUCCUUCCUGCAGUUGCUCACAAGUGUUGGCCCUCCCUCCCACAUGUCGCCUUCAUGCCGGCGCUUCCAACCUGGCACCGGUACCGCUCUGGUUCGUCACAGGUGGGUAUCGUUGCGGUUCGCGUGCAUUAGCUAGCGGGCUGGGUUCACCGCGCCGCGAGCCUGGGUGUUACUUAAUGGUAAGCGAGUUGGCGAUUUCCGGCCUACCGUCUACGGCCUACACCAUUCAGAUGCACGAGACUGAAGGGCGACCAAGAUAAAUGUUAACGCCACUCCUCCUCCUCGCUCGGGUUGGCUGGUUUUGGUUUGGGUCUCUGGUUUUUUGCUUGGGUUUGGAAUGAUCUACCCCCAUCCCCCCCUACACCUCCUGGUCAUAACGCAUCGGUAUGGUACCUACGUUCGCAACGCCUGUACUACGUCUCCUUCGUCCUAAUUAAUCAUGCAUGGAAACCCCCCCCCCACACACACACAUAUACACCCACCUGGCGUUGGACUGGGUGUACUCGUACGCGCAGUAGACCAGCGUGUCGUCCGGCAGCGGCGUCAGCUGGCUGAGCGAGGCCCACAUCUGCUGCGGGCUGCCCUCGAACAGCCGCCCGCAGCCCAGCGCGAACAGCGUGUCAGCGAGGCUCGCGCGCGCUCGCACACGCACCUCAGCUUGCGCUGCAUCGCGUCCGCCCACGCGCGCGCCUCCGCCAGCCGCCGCAGGUGCCACCGCCGCCGCAGCGCGCGCUGGAUGGUCCUCGCCGCCUGCUGCCGCCGGAUGGCGUCCAGCAGCGCGAUGUCCGCGCGCGUGAGCCCCAGCUGCCCCAGCCGCAGCAGCCGUCCCACCCAGCCGCCGGCACCCGCCUCCCAGGCGAGGAGCCGCCCCUGCCCCCGCCGCCGCCGCCACUCACAGCACUGGCGCUGGUCCCCGGCCGGCUAACCGCACCUGCCCCCGCCGCCGCUGCCACCCGGCCCAGGCCCCAACCCGAGGCCGGAGCCCACCAGGCCGCCCAGCGCCACGCCCGCCGCCACGUCAGCCAGCGUCAGGCCCGCCACCUCCGCCGCCUCCGUCAGACAGUCCAGGAAGAAGCGCUGGCCCUCGCCCACACUGGCCGCCAGCGGCUCCAGCGCGCCGGCGCCACCGCCCUCCUCCGCCGCGUGCGCGCGCAGGCCCUGCUCCAUCGGGCGGGCCAGCACGCACGUGUGAGCUGCUGCUUCAUCGUUGCUCACAUUCGAGCAGAGAGGGACUCGGAUAAUUGGGAUAGCUGGGAGGUGCGCGCAUGCGCUGGCGCGGCCGUGUGUGUUGUAUGGACACAAGCCCCCUCGACCUGCAACCGGCGCCAGCCUCGCCGUCACCAACCACCAGGAACCACUGCGAGUCCAACACCCCGCUUGGCGGCCUCACGUGCGUUGACCUCACCGCCAAAACCCACGCACGCGCACCUGCAUCAGCAGCGCCUGCAGCCGCCACAGGUGCCUGAAGCCACUGGACGGGUCCACAUCCCUGCCGCCGCCGCCGCCUCCACGCCCGCCGCCUCCUGCCCCUGCCCAGCCUGCUCCUGCCGCGCCGCUGCCUGCUCCAGUUGCGGUGCCGGCACCUCUUCGCUGCACCGAGCCAUCUGUCCCCGCACUCACUGCCGCCGCAGCUGCCGCCGCCGCCGCAGCAGCCACUGCAGCCGCUGCGCCCAAGCCACCCGCCGCCACCUCCUGUGGCCCACCGUGUAUUAGCAGUGGCCCGUCUUCAUCCGGCGCACUCCCUGGCCGCGAGCGGGUGCGGCCGGCACUCGCCGGCGGCCCACCGCCGCCACCUCUGUUACCGCUGCUGCUAGACAAAGACGAGGCCUGUGUCGAGUACGCCCGCUCCCGUGUAGCGUUCGUGCCGCCGGGCCCCGCCGGCCCUGCGUAGGCUGCGCCCUGACGGGCGCCGCCGACGCUGUUGCCGGUGCUGCAGGUGCUGGUGGUGGCUCGCAGCCCCCACACAGGCGACCCCCCAACCGCGGCGCCGCCACCGCUGCCGCUGCCGUCCGCUGCCGGCGGCGCUGCUGCUGCUGCUCUAUCAUCUGUUGGGCUGCGCCGUGGAGGCAAGGUGCGUUGCGUCAGCGGCCAGCAGCUGGCUGCUCCCAGCAGGCGGUUUAACCGCAGCUACCGGUAUCACCUCUGGCAGGCACCCAGUGCUCAGCAGGCGCCCCUGGUCGCCGUGCCCCGAACAGACUUGGCGCACAUACCGCAGCGCACAGCACUACCUCCCGUAUCCGGUGCGGCAGCCUCGCCAUGAGUACCGUAUACCCCACACCGAAUAGCCUCACCUCGGUCAGCGCAGCCACCUGGUCGGCCAGCAUUCGCCCAUCCGCAGAGCCGCCCGGCCCCGACCCAAGCCCCAGCAACCCUGCCAGAGACUGCGGGCCCAGUGAGUGCAGCAGUGCCGCCUCGCGCUGCCCGCGCCACUCCUCACGCAGCGCAGCCUCCCGCAUCAGCUGCGCCAGCGAGGCGGGCGGCAGGCAGGCGGCCUGCAUGGCGACCUGUGUGCGCGGCCGUGGAUGCACAGAACGUAUGGGACGUUGAGGAUCGGAAUAUGCCGCUAGCGUUGCGUCCUUUGAUAGCCGGGGCAUGCGUCAGGGCGGGGCUGGUAGGGACGGGCGCUCACGUUCUGCAGUAGGCGCAAGUCCUCCUGCCGACCCAUGCCCACGCGGAUGAUCUCAUGUAGGGCCAAGCGGUCCUGCGCCUUCUGAAGCGGUGGCGGUGCGGCCAUUCCCAAGCACCGCUGUGCGACAAAGUCAAGGUUCGUUCACAUGCAGGGAAUGUUAUUUUGGCACGCGGGUUGUUGCCAUAGUUGAAAUGGGGAUUAAUUCAAGCGUUUGGGUGUAUUGGUUGACAAUGCUUGCAAUUGCCAGUCAUGCAUUUGGCGAAAUUACAUGGGCGGAAGUUCUGAUCAUGGUUUGGUACGGGCGCUGUUACUUUUUGUUAAAGGACACGGUAGACACGUGUCUGUACCUGAAUCUGCAUUUGUGUGGAUGUGAAGGGGUACGAGUGCUAAUUUAUGGCAUAGUUGGGAAUUGCGAAGGGGUAUGUAAACGAUGUUUACAGGGAUAGAGGGGGAUGUGUCUCGGAUAGCCGGUUAGCGAUUAUAUCGACUAGGGCAUUCGUGCUUUAGUCGAGUCUAGACUGUCUAGACUCUAUUGAGUAAUUAGAGCAGCCUUGAAACACGCUAAAAGGCCCUUGGUCCAUUUACGUUGUCAGCCUGUAAAGCGUUGACACGUUGCUAAUAACACGGUAAACACGUUGUUGUACCUAAAAGUCUGUUUGUGUGAAUUUGAAGGGGUAAGAAUGCUAAUUUAACGUGUAGUUGGGAAUUGUGAAGGGGUAUGUAAACGAUGUUUACAGGGAUAGAAGGUGUUGUGUCGGGGGUAGUCGGUUAGGUGUGGAGGCGGGAACAGUUGAGGGCGCGGAGGACGCGUCAGGACUCUUUGGAGAGGAUGGGAGCCUGCCACAGGAGGGGCGAGAGUCCGCAUCGUGUCCCGGCUACCCACGUCGCCGCCCAUUACUUAGUACCUACGCGUGGAGCAGCUCCCAUGAGUUUUGGGAACCCCGAGCCAGGUGCUCUCUCGCUGCAUCACACAUCCCUCUGGUGCGCAACCCCGAACAAAAGCUGUCACGUGCGAGGCACAACAGUCGCUGAGGACCGUGUCAAAGCAGCGGUAUCCCACACGCACCGACGCAACAAACACAAGUAGCAGAAGCACGGCCCUGCGGCCGUCACGCCCCUUAACGUGCGUGGGAGGGCCGGUUGGACCCUGACUGUGGUUGGACGGCGCAGGCGGCAGGUUCCUGGCGCAUGGCUCCACGCCAGCGUCUUUACUGACUGCCCAGGCAGGCAGUGCGUGCAGCAUGCGUUGGCUGUUCUGGAGGACCAACCUGGCUUGUGGCCCAGGGCUCCCUGUCAUGGGAAUGUGCACAGAAGUUUCGGCAGCCCAUCCUGUAACCCACAGCAAUUGCCUCUCUCACCAGCCCCGAUUCCAAACCCAAUAACCCCUCGACCAGGAAAUGGUGGUGUUGAGAAACACCGAGUUUGUUGUUUUGGGGGUAUGGGUACACGAGGCCAGGCGUUUAGGCAGUCUCCUCGCCCUUGCCGCCCUUGGUCUUCUUGGGCAGCAGCACGGCGUGGAUGUUGGGCAGCACACCGCCCGACGCGAUGGUCACCUCGCCCAGCAGCUUGCCCAGCUCCUCAUCGUUGCGGAUGGCCAGCUGGAUGUGGCGGGGCACGAUGCGGUUCUUCUUGUUGUCGCGGGCGGCGUUGCCGGCCAGCUCCAGCACCUCAGCAGUCAGGUACUCCAGCACGGCGGCCAGGUACACGGGCGCGCCGGCACCGAUGCGCUCGGCGUACUUGCCCUUCUUCAGGUAGCGCGCAAUGCGGCCCACAGGGAACUGCAGGCCGGCCUUGGCGCUGCGGCUCACGGCCUUCUUGCCAGAGGUCUUGCCCUUGCCGCGACCAGCCAUCGUAUCGAGUGGGGGUGUUCUUGGAGAACGAGACAAGAGGGCUGUGAGUACGUGUUGAAAGCGUUGUAAGUUUGACCAUAGUGUCCCUUGUGCUUAUAUGCAGCUCGCCCAGAACCGAGGCGGCUCGGCCUGGCCACCGGUCAACGCGACGUGGCGGUUGGGUCAAACAACCGCUCGCCUCGCCCUGGCCACCCAUCGCGCUCUCAAAUAGCCUUCGCUUCCACUGCUGACUACCGCAAUACAGAACUCUCUUUCGCAGCUCGAUACCAGCAAUCAAUACCAUGGCCCCCAAGAAGGACGAGAAGCCCGUGACCGCCGAGGCUGGCGCCGAGGCCCCUGCCAAGGCUGAGGCCAAGCCCAAGGCCGAGAAGGCCGCCAAGAAGGCCAAGAAGGAGCCCUCCAAGAAGGCUGCUAAGGAGCCCAAGGGCGAUGGCGAGAAGAAGGACAAGAAGAAGAAGAAGAGCGCUGUGGAGACCUACAAGCUGUACAUCUACAAGGUGCUCAAGCAGGUGCACCCCGACACCGGCAUCAGCAGCAAGGCCAUGUCCAUCAUGAACAGCUUCAUCAACGACAUCUUUGAGAAGGUGGCCACCGAGGCCUCCAAGCUGAGUCGCUACAACAAGAAGCCCACUGUGACCUCCCGCGAGAUCCAGACCGCCGUGCGCCUGGUGCUGCCCGGCGAGCUGGCCAAGCACGCGGUGUCGGAGGGCACCAAGGCCGUGACUAAGUUCACCUCAGGCUAAACGCGCUCAGAGGCUGGACCAACUCCACAAUAAAAACUCGGUGUUUUUCAACACCACCAUGGCGCGGAGGAUGGGACUUGGGGAUUUGAGGGUUCGGGGCGGGUGGAAACUGCAAGGCAUACGGUAACCCUCCGGGGUUGGGUGGGGUGGGAUGAUACCGAGGGGCAACCAAUCAAGACGUACUCCUGGUUGUGGUGGGUUCCUGAACUAUCAUGCAUGCAUGCGGUGCCAGGGGAGCGGGUAGUAGAGGUCAGCAGCUGCACCGUGCGAGCUCCCAGCCUUCCGCUGUAAUCAGACCUGAAGGGUUUUGGUCUGUUGGGUGGAUGACGGUAGCCAUAUGCAACGGGUACGCCCCCGCGGCCUUGGCAGCACACUUGCCUACCUGCAUGGGCGGAUAGACCCGAAUGUGCACGGUUCGAUAGCCAGGGCCCCGAUGGGAGUCACGUUAGUCAUCUGAGGCUUUUGGGCAGCUAGCCUGGGGCCGUGGGCAUGUGUUGGCGGUGCACGGUGGCGAAGGUCCGGCGCGGUGCUUGGUGCAUUUCACGCGCGCGGCUGGCACGGGGCGUUGGGGUGUUGGAUGGGGGCAGGGCGGAAUGGUACUGGUUGGGGUGGGUUGGAGGGCGUGGGUGGAGGGGGCUGCAGCGCUGGGCACAGCAAGCCUGCUCCUUGUACUGGCGUCCUGAAGCGGUAAGCACGAGCAGGGCAAAAUACGAAAUGAGAGUGGGCUGGUCUGGCUGUGAUUGAGCAGGGCAACAUAUAAAUGUGUGGGGACGGACUUGUCGGCUCUGACGGCACUGACUAGGGCGCACUAUUCCUUAUGCCUGCUGCAUAGGCGGCUGACUACUCCGACUGCACAUGUGCGGUGCUGUAGGACUGAAGCCUGAAGGUCCGGUCCUGAGCCCACAUCCAUGUGCCCUAUGUGUGUCCAGAACCCACGCCCCCCUGAGACUCAUGCCAAACCCUCUUAACCGCUGCGCCACCAAUUCCGAAACGGUAAUCAACCACAUACUACCACAUGUGUCCCAGGCUUUGCACUGGCGCAUAUCGAGAACGCUUGUAAGACGAAGGCGGUAUUGCGUCAGGUGCAUGUGUGUGUAUUGGCGUUGCGCUGUUACGCAGUGGGCUAGUGGCACCGUCGCAUCGGAACCGGCACCAGCAGUGGGCUAGUGGCACCGGCACCAGUGGAUUUUUACGCUGGCACCGUCACACACUACAAACAUAUGAAGCAUUUAAUGCAGACGCCAAUAGACACCGUUGCUUGUGGAAGGUGGUGUUGAGAAACACCGAGUUUUGUUGGGGGAAGACCAGCCCAGGCGGCAGCACGCUUACGCGCGCUCGCCACGGAUGCGGCGGGCCAGCUGGAUGUCCUUGGGCAUGAUCGUGACACGCUUGGCGUGGAUGGCGCACAGGUUGGUGUCCUCGAACAGGCCCACCAGGUAGGCCUCGGCGGCCUCCUGCAGCGCCAGCACGGCCUGGCUCUGGAAGCGCAGGUCGGUCUUGAAGUCCUGGGCGAUCUCACGCACCAGGCGCUGGAACGGCAGCUUGCGGAUCAGCAGCUCAGUGGACUUCUGGUACUUGCGAAUCUCGCGCAGCGCCACGGUACCGGGGCGGUAGCGAUGAGGCUUCUUCACACCGCCGGUGGCGGGGGUCUUGCGAGCGGCCUUGGUGGCCAGCUGCUUGCGGGGCGCCUUGCCGCCGGUGGACUUGCGGGCAGUCUGCUUGGUGCGGGCCAUUUUUGCUGAGUGAUACUGUGUAAGGAAGUACUAAUAACAAUACUGCAGCUCCAGCUAUUUAUAUCACAGAGGCCGACCGAUGCAUGGGGCGCCGGACUGGCACAGCUGAGGCGGUGAAGUCAACGCCCGGUCAACGCGGCUCAGGCUGGCCAACGACCGGAAGUCGUUGCCCCAGCCCCCGACCCCAAUAAAAGGGCCCUGUAUUUCCUUAAACAGAUAUCUCACAGCUUCCUUCCUUCAUCUUACUUAACCAACUUAUUGACAAUGUCUGGACGCGGCAAGGGCGGCAAGGGCCUGGGCAAGGGCGGUGCCAAGCGCCACCGCAAGGUGCUUCGCGAUAACAUUCAGGGCAUCACUAAGCCCGCUAUUCGCCGUCUGGCUCGCCGUGGCGGUGUGAAGCGUAUCAGCGGCCUGAUCUACGAGGAGACUCGCACGGUGCUGAAGACCUUCCUGGAGAACGUCAUCCGCGACUCGGUCACCUACACCGAGCACGCUCGCCGCAAGACCGUGACGGCCAUGGACGUGGUGUACGCCCUGAAGCGCCAGGGCCGCACCCUGUACGGCUUCGGUGGUUAAGCGGCUUCUGUGCCGACUGCUGUGAGGGGAAACAAGGCACGUAUCCACGCUGGCUUGCCCCUCCCACCUGGCUGUCAACCUCUUCAUCCAAACUCGGUGUUUUUCAACACCACCAAACUCGUGCAACGGGUGUGCAGCGUGGGUGUGCAGGGCCGGUCAAACAUUGUGGUAUGGGUUGGAUUUGAAACGUGAUUACAACGCUUGUAGGACUCUUGGUAGGACUUGCACCCAAGGCCCUGCCGGGAAACGCAUACAUCGCGUGCCUGAUCGUCAGCGCAGCGCACUAGUGCCAACACCCUCCAUGAGGGGUCGUGCCCCCUGCAUACCAGACGCCAACUCAGCAUUUCAACAGCAUCCGUUGUGGCACACCAUUUACAACCGUACAGCUAUGGUAUACAUAACGCGCACACAGGUAUAACCGCACACCCCGAACCUUUGCAGGUGCAACAAUUGGCAAAAAUUUGUCAGUGCAGCCAAAUGCCCUGCGUGGAUUUCAGUGGCGGAUCCGGUCAGCCCCCAGGCCGGUUGAAGGGCGGGGCUGCGUCUAUCGGUCUAUCCAGGGCCGCAAAGCAGCACUGCUGCACGGACCCUGCCUGCUUCCGCUUUCCUGGUACCCCAACACCUAUGCUUGCGCACCCAGUCAGUCCGUUCAACAAAGAACAUGGUACAUUUAAAGACGAUCGCCCGUCCGCGCGCGCAAUCCUGUUACCCAUCCUGAUCCGCGCGAAACACGUUCCUUAAAGACUCGGCUGCAACCCGUGUCACACUAGCCACACUGUCACAAGCGACCACCUCGCCCGCCUCUACGCUCCCAACUUUCCAUGCUCAAGCAGCGUGCGCGCGCCCAUCACGGCCCCAUCACUCCGCCACCACGGCUCCAAGCAGCCCAGCCCACAGCAGCCCAGCUCACACCAGCGCUGCUCACAGCAGCCCCCAGCGAACCCGACCCCAGCCCCCAGCUCUUCUCCUUGCGGGAGUUGCUGCGCUACUGUUUCCCUACGGGAUUGGUUUCAGAGUUAGGCCCCCGCUCACAGCUCGGCCUUGGGCCAGGAGCCACCCGACAGACGCGCCAGUGUGAGCGCCAGCACGCUGACGCCGUUGGCGAUGUCGGAGGCGCUGCUGAACUCGUCGGGGCGGUGGCUCCAGCCGUUCUUGCAUGGGAUGAAGAUCAUGCCAGUGGGGGCGAUGCUGUAGACGUGGGGCGUGUGGGGAUGUGGGAUGGGGUGGGAUGGGGUGGGUUGGGGGUUGCGAGGUCAAAACAUUGGAAGCAGUGGGGUGGGGGUGGGGGAAGGGUGAGACGGUGAGCAGGCUUGAGGCGGAGCGGGGACAGCGCUGCACACGACACGCGGACGCGGCCGCCACCUCACCGCAUGUACGGCAUGACUCCCCGCAUGAUACUUUUAGUCCUCACGCACAUGCUGAAAACACACACACACACACACACACACACACACACACACACACACACUCCGCUCCCCCCCCUCCCCGGUUUCGGGUUUAGUUUGGGCUGGUAUCCAACCCCCGCCCCGGGCGGAAGCUGGGCUCUGGCAGAUACCCCUCGAUCCCCCCUCAACCCACAUUUCCCUCCCCCCGGGUUUGGUUACGGUAGUUUGGACUGGUAUCUACAACCCCCCCCCCCCCGCCGCCGCCUGGUGCCGCUGCCACGCUCACGCACCGGGCCAUGAACAGGGAGUCGUGGUAGGCGCGCGACACCAUGUGCUUGGUGCGCAGGCCCAGGGCGCCGGCUGCGGCCGCCACCGCCUCCACCACGUCAGAGUGGCAGGUGGCGGGCGGGUCCUGGUUGAUGACGCGGCUGCUCAUGCGCACCUGCAGGCGUGGCGGUGGGUGGGUGUGGGUGGGGACACGGGGUGAGCCCGUGAGGGGAUGGCAAGUCGCGGUGAUAGGCGGAUGGGUUAUGGGGGGGGGAGAGGGGGGGUUGCAUUCAUGAUUACGAAGAAGUGAAGGCGUGGCCAGGUAGGAAGCGCGAGCAGCCUGUGGGGCAAUCACACUGGCAGCUGCGCGCGGACGCGGAGCAGCCGCGGAGCCCAUCAACCGCAGCCCCGCACGAAGGUUUCAACGCCAACCAACCAACCAACCAACCCACCAACCGCUCGACCAACCAACCCCUUCUCCAACUGCCUCACAUUGCGUUUGUCCGCGAUCUCCUCCGCGCUCUUCAGGACCACCGCCACCACUUGGUCGCGCCGGGGGCCGUCAAUGUCGCGGAUGUCUGCGAGGGCAUAGAGGACAAACACGCCGGUCACGGUCAGGAUCACAAUUCCGGUAACAUGCCAGAGAUCUACGAUACACGUAGCCAGCUGACACGCCCUUCAGGCCCUCACCCUUACAACUCCUGCUCCCUUACGCUUCCGGCAUGCCCACUUCCGCCUUCCCAUUUCUGGCCCGCCGCACAAGCCCCCUUCCCCCACCCUCUCCAUGGGAAACAGACCCAAGUGUCGACAACCUCCACCGCCACGCCCCACCACCACCACUCAACGCACCAAUGGCCAAGCGCGCCUCGCGAGGCACCGAGUUGAUGGCCCCGGGCGCGAUUUCAAAGGUGCCGGUGGUGCCCACCGUGUCCACACUGCCCGUGGCCAGCACGUGACGCUCCACCGCCAGCGCCAGCUCGGCACCCGCCAGGCCCGCGUCGUUCCUGGGUGGUGGGGCAAGGGGAAGGGGAGGGGGCGGGAGGGAAAGGGGAAGGGGCAGGCGGGUGAUGGACGGUGAUGAGGAGGGUUUGUGUGCAGGGUCUGCACACGCACACACAGGAAGAGCCACACUGUAAAGACGUUAUGUCUGUGUGACCGCCCUUUCCAAGUUCAUCCUUACUACACACACAAAUACACGCACACACACACCGGGUUGUCCGGAUACACGACCACGUGAUCUGAUAAACAACUGUAAACCGUUGUUACACACACACACACACACACACACACACACACACACACACACACACACACACACACACACGUAUCUCCCUCCCCCACCUGUCCGGCAUGAGCUGUCCGCCCGCGUGGCCGCCGUCCCCCACGAACUGCACCUCCAGGGCGGCUGGCGCGGCGAUGGCGGUGACCACCCCGAUGUCCAGCCCCUCGCGCUCCAGCAGAGGGCCUGGCGGGCGUGUGUGUGCAUGUGUGUGUGUGGUGGGGGGGUGGGUGGGUGGGUUGCAAGGACUGGUAUAGAGAAGUGUAGCGAAGACGAGAGCAGGCGUGGGGGUGAUCCCGGUGCGGGGAGUGAGGGAAAGGCCACGAGAAGCAAACAAAGAGUGAGCUGGGAAGGCGCGUGCGUGUGUGUUCGUAGGAGGGUGGGCGGGGUCCAGGUGUGGGGAGGGGAAUGAGGGCACAGGCGCACAGCCGUUGUGUUCUGGCAGUGAAACGCGGCCGCCGCAUGCAUGUCAAGGCAUCCCAUGGCCGUGUGCUGAUUCCCGUAACCCCAGCUACCCGCACUCAUCUCCGUACGCCCCACGACGGCCCCCUCACGCCGCCUUCCCCCACCCUCUACUCCACUCCCCGUGUCCACUCCCCCCCUGCCCCUCUUUUCCUUCCCCUCACCCUGCUCGAUGUGCAGCUCCACGAAGUGCGACACGGCGCCCUCCGCCACCCGCGUGGCAGCCAGCAUGUCCUGCGUGCUCACACCGCCAUAGCCCACCUCGUUGGCCACCUGCACGGGAGGGGGACGUGGCGAGGGGUUUGGACUUUGGAGAUUG